rnacentral:rRNA from 1 species
GGCAUAAGAGUGAAAGGCGCUUUCGGGUGUCGCUGAUGGAUGGACCCGCGGUGCAUUAGCUAGUUGGUGAGGUAACGGCUCACCAAGGCCACGAUGCAUAGCCGACCUGAGAGGGUGAUCGGCCACACUGGGACUGAGACACGGCCCAGACUCCUACGGGAGGCAGCAGUAGGGAAUCUUCGGCAAUGGACGAAAGUCUGACCGAGCAACGCCGCGUGAGUGAAGAAGGUUUUCGGAUCGUAA